rnacentral:ribozyme from 14 species
UAUUUAUUUUUCUUAUCCUCUCGUUGUCCGGAUGUUUUUCUUCCCAAACGAAAACGAGGAGGAGGGGAGGAAAUGGCGGAAAUAAAAUAUAAAUUUGGAAUGAGGGAGAAUCAGGAAAAAGAAUUGAAAAGUUGGAAUGAUGUGGUUCAGUUAUGUAAUAAUACCAAAGAAGAAAGAAGU